CACCCUUUGAUGGCUUCUCCGGCCACUGAAGAUAACCACGUUGGCCAUCCGGCAUCAAUGUUUUCUCCUGAGAUAUGCGAGAGGCUAAUAUCUAAUAACAAGUCAUUGGUUUUAUCUUCUAAUAUUGCUGGCAUAGCAACUUGUCCAUAUGAUUUAACCAAAUGAGGCACCAUUAAACCAUGAACACCCCCUAAUUGUGCAGUAGGAAAGAUGCACCCCAUAUUCUUAAUCCACACACACAAUCAAUCAAAAGAAACUGGUGUGGGAAAAGGGGAAAGCUCCCACCCUUCUAAUUCUUAUGAUCAAGUAGCCAUUCACUGUGAAAACUUGUCUUGGAAAUUCAAACACGAUCAUGCAUGCAAGUUGAACAAAAUCUACCUCAAAUUAUACCAAUGGUGCAAUAUAAUGCCUCAAUGUGACUUGGUUCUCAACGAAGAAGAAUCCAAAAAUUCUAAGAGCCAAUCCAAUGAAUCUCUAGAGGCUCCAACACAAUAGGCCACAGAAGAGAAAAAAAAAAGGGUUGAUUCAUGUAUGAUUCAAAUAUUCAAUCUCAAAACACGUGUAUGUAUAUGAUGAAAAACAAAAUUGAAGGAAGAAUUUCUU